rnacentral:rRNA from 1 species
UACAGAGGGUGCAAGCGUUAAUCGGAAUUACUGGGCGUAAAGCGUGCGCAGGCGGUUUUGUAAGCCAGAUGUGAAAUCCCCGGGCUUAACCUGGGAAUGGCAUUUGGGACUGCAAAGCUUGAGUGUGGCAGAGGGGACUGGAAUUCCUGGUGUAGCAGUGAAAUGCGUAGAGAUCAGGAGGAAUACCGAUGGCGAAGGCAGGUCCCUGGGCUGACACUGACGCUCAUGCACGAAAGCGUGGGGAGCAAACAGG